rnacentral:tRNA from 10 species
GGGGGAUAUGGCGAAAUUGGUAGACGCUACGGACUU